rnacentral:rRNA from 1 species
GUUCGGGGGACGAGGGUGACAGGUGGUGCAUGGUUGUCGUCAGCUCGUGUCGUGAGAUGUUGGGUUAAGUCCCGCAACGAGCGCAACCCUUCGACCUUAGUUGCCAGCAUUCAGUUGGGCACUCUAAGGUGACUGCCGGCUAAAAGUCGGAGGAAGGUGGGGAUGACGUCAAAUCAUCAUGCCCCUUAUGACCUGGGCUACACACGUGCUACAAUGGGCGGUACAAAGGGUCGCGAACCCGCGAGGGGGGAGCCAAUCCCAAAAAGCCGCUCUCAGUUCGGAUUGCAGGCUGCAACUCGCCUGCAUGAAGCCGGAAUCGCUAGUAAUCGCGGAUCAGCAUGCCGCGGUCGAAUACGUUCCCGGGCCUU